UACGAAGGGUGCAAGCGUUAAUCGGAAUUACUGGGCGUAAAGGGUGCGUAGGCGGUUCGUUAAGUCUGUCGUGAAAUCCCCGGGCUCAACCUGGGAAUGGCGAUGGAUACUGGCGAGCUAGAGUGUGUCAGAGGAUGGUGGAAUUCCCGGUGUAGCGGUGAAAUGCGUAGAGAUCGGGAGGAACAUCAGUGGCGAAGGCGGGCAUCUGGGACAACACUGACGCUGAAGCACGAAAGCGUGGGGAGCAAACAGG
rnacentral:rRNA from 1 species